GCGCGCUUGGCGGAAUCUGGGCAGACGCGCAGCCCUUAGGUGGCUGUGCCUUCGGGCGUGGGGGUUCGAGUCCCCCAGCGCGCA
rnacentral:tRNA from 1 species